GGAGUCGGCCAGACAGCCGCUGUAUGCGAAUGCAGAGGAAAGUCCGGGCUCCACAGGACAGGGUGCCAGGUAACGCCUGGGGGGCGCAAGCUCACGGAAAGUGCCACAGAAAACAUACCGCCUAAGCGUUUCCGGCAAGUCCGGCAGCGCCGGCAAGGGUGAAAUGGUGCGGUAAGAGCGCACCGCGCGGGUGGUAACAUCCGUGGCAGGGAAAACCCCACCCGGAGCAAGACCGAAUAGGGGAACCAUGGUGUGGUCCGCACCGUUCCCGGGUAGGUCGCUUGAGACACGUGGUGACACGUGCCCCAGAGGAAUGGCUGUCCACGACAGAACCCGGCUUAUCGGCCGGCUCCACUU
rnacentral:RNase_P_RNA from 1 species